CACAAGAAGAAGUUACGACCUGGUGUGACCAGUCUGUGACCUGGUGGGGAGAAGGCUCACAAGAACCCAAUCAUGCUAGCACCCUGAUCUUGGACUUCUACAGUAAAGAGCUGGUCACACACAGAGAGAACCAAACUUUUAAUUUGUAGAGGAGCAUUGCCAUCUGGAUGAAAGAUUACAUUCUGAAGGCUCAAUAAGAGAAAUAAUCACACCCCGGAGCUUUGACCCAAGAAAAUCCCACACACUUCUGAGAGGCUUCAGUCUGUGAAGAAAGCAUUGAAAGACACG